rnacentral:rRNA from 1 species
AGGACGAACGCUGGCGGCGUGCUUAACACAUGCAAGUCGAGCGGAAAGGCCCUUUCGGGGUACUCGAGCGGCGAAACGGGUGAGUAACACGUGAGUAAUCUGCCCCUAGCUCUGGGAUAGCGUCCGGGAAACCGGGAUUAAUACCGGAUACGACCACCUUAGACAUCUUUUGUGGUGGAAAGAAUUUCGGCUAGGGAUGAGCUCGCGGCCUAUCAGCUUGUUGGUGGGGUAACGCCUACCAAGGCGACGACGGGUA